CCUACGGGAGGCAGCAGUGAGGAAUAUUGGUCAAUGGGCGAGAGCCUGAACCAGCCAAGUCGCGUGAAGGAUGAAGGAUCUAUGGUUUGUAAACUUCUUUUAUAUGGGAAUAAAGUGCGGUACGUGUUCCUUUUUGUAUGUACCUUAUGAAUAAGCAUCGGCUAACUCCGUGCCAGCAGCCGCGGUAAUACGGAGGGUGCGAGCGUUAUCCGGAUUUAUUGGGUUUAACGGGUUCGGAGGUGGUUAGUUAAGUCAGCGGGGAAAGUUUGUGGCUAAACCAUAAAAUUGCCGUUGAAACUGGUAGACUAGAGUAUAUUUGAGGUAGGCGGAAUGCGUAGUGUAGCGGUGAAAUGCAUAGAUAUCACGCAGAACUCCGAUUGCGAAGGCAGCUUACUAGACUAUAACUGACACUGAGGCACGAAAGCGUGGGGAUCAAACAGGAUUAGAUACCCCAGUAGUC
rnacentral:rRNA from 1 species